CACAAACAUGACUGUAAGUCGCUUUGGAUAAAAGCAUCUGCUAGAUAUUGUAUU
rfam:Salmo salar isolate Sally breed double haploid chromosome ssa06, whole genome shotgun sequence.